GCCAAUUGUGCCCUCCAGGGCCUUGCCAGCUCUCCAAGGUGCCAAGCACUCAGGAGGUCACUGUGUGUGUGUGGAAAGCACAUGCUUGGGUGCACUUGGCAGCUCCAGGGCUCAGACAGCCUCUGCUGAAGAUGCCAUCAUGACUCAGUAAAGAACUGUUGAUGUGCAGUAGCCAAAGAGGAAAAGCUGACAGCUUGGAGGCAGUGACCAGCAACCAGCUCUGUGUGACCCUUCAGGAAGGAACAUGUGAUGCUGCUCUUUGCCUCGGUGAGGAUGAAGAUUUGAGGACUGAAGGGGUGGGACAGUUCCUAGUGGUGCAGAGCGAGGAGGAUGUGCCUGACUGCAGCCUGAGACCAGAGCAUCAUGCUGUGGUGAAGCAGCAAGUUGAGGAACAAGUGAGAGCUCAGAGUAGUCAUUAAGAAGAUGGUGAUUUCUGCAUGGAAAAGAUGAUGGAAUGAGAACCACAGGAUGGUCUUCCACAGCUGGUCCUAUCCCUGAUCUAGACAAAAGGAAAGCCCAGUUCCUGAGGGCAUUUUUUAAGGACCAGGCAGGACAGAGACACAGGUU